CCCUUAGAUGUCCUGGGCCGCACGCGCGCUACACUGACAUGUUCAACAAGCCUCCUAGUUCGACAGGAUUUGGGAAAUCUUUGAACGCAUGUCGUGAUAGGGAUAGAUCAUUGCAAUUAUUGAUCUUGAACGAGGAAUUCCUAGUAAACGCGAGUCAUCAGCUCGCAUUGAUUACGUCCCUGCCCUUUGUACACACCGCCCGUCGCACCUACCGAUUGAAUGUUUCGGUGAAGAUUCCGGAUAGGACUUUUUUGAUUUAUUUCAACUUUGUCUUAAAAGCUAUCUAAACCUCAACAUUUAGAGGAAGGUGAAGUCGUAACA
rnacentral:rRNA from 1 species